GUCUAUGGCCAUGCCACCCUGAACAUGCCCGAUCUCGUCUGAUCUCGGAAGUUAAGCGGGGUCGGGCCUGGUUAGUACUUGGAUGGUGGACCGCCUAGGAAGACCAGGUGCUGUAGGUG
rnacentral:rRNA from 1 species